GAGUAAUUCUGAACCACUACAGGCGGUGUACUAUUUGGGGGCGACGAAGAAGUCUCCUCCACGAUGACGAUGACGAUGACGAUAUGUCUGGUGAUUCAGUUUCAUCUGCAAGAGACUAGGCUUCUAACUUCACUUGAUGAUUUUCAAAGAGAUUCGUAUUGAUUUUGAAGCUACUACUGCUCUGCUCUGGGGUCGAGCUCUCCUACUCCGUUACUUCUUGCAUGUAAAAUAAUAUUUGAAGAAAAUAAAUGAACGACUCUAAUAAUUAGAAAUUCGAUCUAGUUAAUGGUUUUAUUUUGCAACAAGUCAGAGGUGAUAUUUUAUGUUUGUACUUCCGGCAGAUUAAGAUAUGAGUAAUCGUAAAAAAUUAAAACCAACAGCCACAGGGGUUUACAUAGUUGUUGAGUAAGAGUAAAUAUGUUUUUUUAUUCCUUGGCAUGGUGUACUCCAUACAUACGAAUAAAACUCAUAAUUAUUAAUUUUAUAAAUAUAUCUACAUAUGUAUACAGUUGAUGAGUAUAUAAAUAUUUCCAAUAAGUCUUGAGAUGUUAUUCCUAAUAAAGACUAACGCCUCUACGUCUGUAUGUCAAUCUAGGACACAGUCAAUAGAUCCGAAGACCUUGUAGUUAUAUAGAGUUGACGCGUGCGUCCAAGUCUGCUCUUUAUGAGUAACGCUAAUGUCCGUGUAAAAGACAUGCUUUUCCUCUUGUAAUACGAUGCUUCAAAUGAUAUUUAUGCUUUUAAUUGUCAUCCUCGAGGUUUAUACUUAUACUUACUAGAAAAGGAAAAAAAAAAAAGAAAAUGUUACAAUAAAUGGCUGUUAAAUUUAAUACUUUUAUAAUCUGAGUCUUUUAAUUCUACUUCCGCUGUAUUAAAGCCACGGAAAUAUAUUUAUUUUACUCAUCAAAUAUUACUAUCAGCCAUUGACUCUAAUUUUUAUGCUGUUUCGUAAUUUAUAUAUACAUAAGUGUCCGUUUACGUAUGUAGAUCUAUAUAUACACAGGCAUACAAAAUGGUAGAAGAAAAUUUCUACUGUAUGAUAUGUAAAGAUAAUUUUAAUAAAUGUACAUUUAAGCGAAAUUGAUUAUUUUACUGUAAUUAUUGUAGAAAGUAAAAAAUCAAUAUGGGUAUGGCUUUGUUGUUGAUUUUCUAUUGAAAAAGGAUUAUUUUAAUAAUUAUAUAUUAUGUAACGAAGAAUGAUUUGGAGUAAUAAGUCGAUAAAUGGAAGAACUACUUUGUAAUAUAGCUAGGCAAACGCUAAUUACCGGAGCGACUUCAACAGAUGAAAAAAAAAGGUCGAGUAAUUGUCAAAAUAAAAAAGCCGCAUUUAAAGAAAAAGAUAAUAGUUGUUGCCAUUAUCUUUUCCAGCUCUUGAAACAAUAGCAAAUCAUGGAUCAUGAAAAGACCCUCAAUCUUACUGCUGAGCAGUCAUCCUUGUCGGCGAUGGCAUAAAAAAGAAUCCAUCAAGAGGUAUACAGUGUUACCAACUUGUUGAAUUACUGUCAUCGUACCAAUGAAUGAGAUAAACAAAAAUAUAUUAUAAACACGUGGUUUGAUGUUGUCAAGGUCAAUUAUCUUUAAGAUUACAUAGGUAUAUCGCUCGAUAGCAGCUAGUGGCCGUGGGAUGCCGCCAAAUUUUAUUUGCUAGGAAAAUAUGACAACUCAAAUCAACUCUGAGGCCUCUGACAAUUUUCUUUUUUAUAUAUAUAUUAAAUACAAGUAUUAAGCGUGAUAGCGCUUUCAGUAAUAUAACCAUUGUCUCUUUAAUGCACAACAGAGUUUCACAUUCAAUAUUUAUACUAAAAUUCGUUAUAAAAAAAAAUUAUUUAUUAUAAAAAAGAGCGCUUGAAUAU
rnacentral:lncRNA from 1 species